GCCUGCCCAGUGAUACACCAUUCAACGGCCGCGGUAUCCUAACCGUGCAAAGGUAGCACAAUCACUUGUUCUUUAAAUAAGGACUAGUAUGAACGGCACCAUGAGGAUCGCCUUGUCUCUCAUAGUAAGUCCAUGAAACUGAUCCCCCAGUACAAAAGCUGGGAUACCCCCACAAGACGAGAAGACCCUGUGGAGCUUUAAACUGCACACCACACACACUGGUACUAGCAGUUUUUAGUUGGGGCGACUUUGGAGCAAAACAAAACCUCCAAAAUUUAACCUAAACCCCAGACGGACACGUCUGGGCCAAUCAACCAUCGACCCAAUACAAUUGAUCAAUGAACCAAGUUACCCCAGGGAUAACAGCGCAAUCUUCUUCUAGAGUCCCUAUCGACAAGAAGGUUUACGACCUCGAUGUUGGAUCCGGAUACCCCAAUAGUGCAGCCGCUAUUAACGGUUCGUUUGUUCAACGAUUAAUAAUCCCACGUGAUCUGAGUUCAGACCGG
rnacentral:rRNA from 1 species